AGGACGAACGCUGGCGGCGUGCUUAACACAUGCAAGUCGAGCGGAAAGGCCCUUCGGGGUACUCGAGCGGCGAACGGGUGAGUAACACGUGAGCAACCUGCCCUUAGCUCUGGGAUAGCUCCGGGAAACCGGAAUUAAUACCGGAUAUGACCUAGGCCGACAUCGGCCGGUGGUGGAAAGUUUUCGGCUAGGGAUGGACUCGCGGCCUAUCAGCUAGUUGGUGGGGUAAUGGCCUACCAAGGCGACGACGGGUA
rnacentral:rRNA from 1 species